UUCUAGCCCUGAUGGAAGCGGCAUCCUUUUUCCUGCUUUUUUAGCAGGGAAAAGAUAUAGCGUACAGCAGGAAAUAGC
rnacentral:sRNA from 1 species